UACGUAGGGGGCAAGCGUUGUCCGGAAUCAUUGGGCGUAAAGCGCGUGUAGGCGGUCCGGUAAGUCGGCUGUGAAAGUCCAGGGCUCAACCCUGGGAUGCCGGUCGAUACUGCCGGACUAGAGUUCGGAAGAGGCGAGUGGAAUUCCCGGUGUAGCGGUGAAAUGCGCAGAUAUCGGGAGGAACACCAAUGGCGAAGGCAGCUCGCUGGGACGUUACUGACGCUGAGACGCGAAAGCGUGGGGAGCGAACGGG
rnacentral:rRNA from 1 species